rnacentral:rRNA from 1 species
AUAGGCGAACGGGUGAGUAACGCGUAAACAAUCUGCCCUGCAGUCGGGAACAACCAUCCCAACGGAUGGCUAAUGCCGGAUAUCGUGGCCGCCUGGAAAGAUUUGCUGCAGGAUGAGUUUGCGUCCGAUUAGCUAGUUGGCGGGGUAACGGCCCACCAAGGCGCCGAUCGGUAGCCGGCCUGAGAGGGUGAUCGGCCACAUUGGGACUGAGAUACGGCCCAGACUCCUACGGGAGGCAGCAGUAGGGAAUAUUGCGCAAUGGGGGAAACCCUGACGCAGCAACUCCACGUGUGGGAAGAAGCAUUUCGGUGUGUAAACCACUGUCGACAGGGAAUAAUGAAUGUACCUGUAAAGGAAGCACCGGCAAACUUCGUGCCAGCAGCCGCGGUAAUACGAGGGGUGCAAGCGUUGUUCGGAAUCACUGGGCGUAAAGGGAGCGUAGGCGGGACUCCAAGUCGUUCGUACAAUGCCGGGGCCUAACCCCGGACCUGCGGACGAGAC